rnacentral:lncRNA from 1 species
UUUAAAUACAAUAGCAGGAAUGCUCCAUUUUACAGGGCUGAGGUCAGAGGAAGGGCUGUGGGGCCAAAAGACAAGGUAUAUAAGUAAGCCCUUCAUAAACUUCUCUAUUACCUUUCACAAAAGCAGGACUUUACAGCUCUUACAAAGCACAGCGGUGAUGUUUAUUUCUUAAAAAUUCAAUUUGUCUUCUUCAUCAGGAACUGCUGACCCAUCUCACCGCCAAAGGAUUAUGCUAGAAGAAGAAUUAGGAAUACCUGAAGUACUGGAGAGAGGCUGCCACGAGGCUGAGUUCCCAUGAGGCAGCUCUAGCAGGGGGAUGUGUUCCUGCACCGCUUCACUGGCCCUGAGCAAAAGUACGUAGGUGCUGAAUAACAGUCAUAAAAAAAAAACUACUAUUCAUACAUUAAAUGCACAGCCAGCACAGCAAGAAUGUAAAGCAGUGGAUAAAAGUGAGUGAACAGAGGGGCUCUGAGACAGCUCUGGAUAUUCCUGCAGCUGUGGCUUGCUGGGCUCCCCCAGAGCUGCUCAGCAUGAAGACACGAAG